GACGAAUGCUGGCUGCGUGCUUAACACAUGCAAGUCGAACGGUGAAAGGGAGCUUGCUCCCUGGAUCAGUGGCGAACGGGUGAGUAACACGUGGGCAACCUGCCCCUCACUCUGGGAUAACUCCGGGAAACCGGGGCUAAUACCGGAUACGACCUGGUGCGACAUCGCACCGGGUGGAAAGAACUUCGGUGAGGGAUGGGCCCGCGGCCUAUCAGCUUGCUGGUGGGGUAACGGCCCACCAAGGCCACGACGGGUAGCCGGCCUGAGAGGGCGACCGGCCACACUGGGACUGAGACACGGCCCAGACUCCUACGGGAGGCAGCAGUGGGGAAUAUUGCGCAAUGGGCGAAAGCCUGACGCAGCGACGCAGCGUGAGGGACGAAGGCCUUCGGGUUAUAAACCUCUUUCAGCGGGGACGAAGCGAAAGUGACGGUACCCGCAGAAGAAGCACCGGCUAACUACGUGCCAGCCGCCGCAGUAACAC
rnacentral:rRNA from 1 species